ACGGGAGGCAGCAGUGGGGGAUAUUGCACAAUGGGGGAAACCCCGAUGCAGCGACGCCGCGUGAGUGAUGAAGUAUUUCGGUAUGUAAAGCUCUAUCAGCAGGGAAGAAAAUGACGGUACCUGACUAAGAAGCUCCGGCUAAAUACGUGCCAGCAGCCGCGGUAAUACGUAUGGAGCAAGCGUUAUCCGGAUUUACUGGGUGUAAAGGGAGCGUAGACGGUGACGCAAGUCUGAAGUGAAAGGUGUGGGCUCAACCCGCAAACUGCUUUGGAAACUGUGUGACUAGAGUGUCGGAGAGGUAAGUGGAAUUCCUAGUGUAGCGGUGAAAUGCGUAGAUAUUAGGAGGAACACCAGUGGCGAAGGCGGCUUACUGGACGAUAACUGACGUUGAGGCUCGAAAGCGUGGGGAGCAAACAGGAUUAGAUACCCUGGUA
rnacentral:rRNA from 1 species